rnacentral:rRNA from 1 species
UGAGGAACAUGACCUUCGGCGGGGGAUAGCCGGCCCAACGGCCGGGUAAUACCGCGUACGACCACAUGGGGACAUCCCUGAGUGGUGAAAGCAGCAAUGCGCCGAUGGAGUGCCUCGCGGCCUAUCAGCUAGUUGGUGAGGUAACGGCUCACCAAAGCAACGACGGGUAGCUGGUCUGAGAGGAUGGCCAGCCACAGUUGGGACUGAGACACGGCCCAGACCUGUACCGGGGA